AAAGCGCCUGUAGGUUGUUUAAUAAGUCUGUUGUUAAAGACUAGGGCUCAACCCUAGAAAAGCAAUGGAAACUACUAGACUAGAGUAUGGCAGGGGUAGAGGGAAUUUCUAGUGUAGCGGUGAAAUGCGUAGAUAUUAGAAAGAACACCAGUGGCGAAAGCGCUCUACUGGACCAUUACUGACACUCAGAGGCGAAAGCUAGGGUAGCAAAAGGGAUUAGAUACCCCUGUAGUCCUAGCCGUAAACGAUGGAUACUAGAUGUUGUAUUUAUUUUACAGUAUCGUAGCUAACGCGUUAAGUAUCCCGCCUGGGGAGUACGCUCGCAAGGGUGAAACUCAAAGGAAUUGACGGGGGCCCGCACAAGCGGUGGAGCAUGUGGUUUAAUUCGAUGCAACGCGAAGAACCUUACCAGGGCUUGACAUACUGCGAAUCUUUUUGAAAAGAAAGAGUGCCUUCGGGAAUGCAGAUACAGGUGGUGCAUGGCUGUCGUCAGCUCGUGUCGUGAGAUGUUGGGUUAAGUCCCGCAACGAGCGCAACCCUUGUUUUUAGUUACCAAUUCGUUGGGUUUUCUAGAAAGACUGCCGGUGACAAACCGGAGGAAGGUGAGGAUGACGUCAAGUCAGCAUGCCCCUUAUGUCCUGGGCUACACACGUGCUACAAUGGUUAGGACAAAGAGUUGCAAAUUGCAAAAAUUAGCUA
rnacentral:rRNA from 1 species